rnacentral:lncRNA from 1 species
AUUAGGAUGGUUUCAUUUUUCCGCCUGGAUCCUGAUUUACACAAAAGGUAUGAGCAUUCAUAUUUUACUUUGGUAGUUAUUGCCAAGUCCCCCCCGCAAAAUGUCUGUCCCUGUUCAGACUGAGAGGGGUAUGUGCUUCUCCUCAGGCCUGCAAAUUUUGCCUGGCUGAUCUGAUCGGUGAGAAAAAGGAUAUUUUAAUUGUCAUUUUCAUUUUCCUAAUUAAAGAUCAAAUUCUCAUCUUUUCAUGUUUGUUGCCUGCUUGCAUUUCUCUUCAGUGAACCGUCCAUUCAUAUCUGCUGUCAAUUUUCUUAUUGAAUUACUUAUUGUAUUUUUCCUAUUGCUUUAUAGGAGCAUGUUAAAUUAAUCCUUUGUUAUGUAUAAGCCAGCCAUCUCCUCCUCGUCCUUGUUUAUGCGAUCCUUUGUUGUGCAGAAGCUAUAAAUUUGGAUCUAUUCCAUUGUGAGAGAAACCUAACCCUAACAAAAGUAGCAAAUCAACUGUAUUGGAUCAUGUAACUGAACAACUCAGAGACAGGGCUUCAGGUGCCGGCCGAUCCGGCAGCUCAAACAGGGGCCUGAAGAUACUGUUUCAGCUUUGCUUUUUUUCAUAAUACUGUCAUUCCCGGCCUCAAUAGCGUAGCAACAUGACUCAUCGUAGCUUCAUUUAUAAGAAUGAUUAUAAGAAUAAGAUAAGAAUGAUUUAUAAGAAUUCAUUUAUAAGAAUGAAUGUAAACAACACAAUCACGUCUAAAAGUGACUUAAAUACAGUUAUUUUUUCUUUUCUGAAUGUAGGUGGCUCUGAGAAUGAUUCAGUAACUGAAUUACAUUCAGUAAAACGUAAGGGCUCAGGGUAACCUUUUUUUUUUUUUUUUUUUUUUUUUGUCGUGAAAAAAUGGCUACCGUAUUUCUAAGCACUGUGUCCCGAAACAACAGCGUGCAAUGAAGUAGGCAAGGAAGCGUCUUGUCUGGCACAUGUCUCCGCAUCCUCAAGUCUUCCCCAGGACCACCCCUUCCCUGCCCACGCCCCCCAACAGGUGCUUCCUCAGAUUCCAUUGGCUAGAGCUGGUCACGUGCCCAAGAUUCGCUGCAAAGGACGAUGGGAGAGCAAGUAAGUGGCCCUUUCUAAUCUGGCGGCUGCGCUGGGUUGGCAGGAAUAAGGGCUGGGGGAGCUGUGGGGUUGACAUCCAGCGGCACCUGCUCCCAAGGGCAUCUCUCUCUCAGUCACUCCUGCUCCAGAGAUGGGCUUCACUCUGCUUGGACCAACUUUGGUCCCAUGAAUCACUUCCGGGUCUGAGGGAUUCUCCAGCUGAUUGGCCAGGCCAGGUCACACGCUCCACCCGUAGCCCCAGACAGGGAGCUCAUCCUGAACCCUGUCUGUGA